GGCCAUGGGCCUUCUUGAUCACCCAUUGACCCCAUCCAGGUAAGUAUGUUGCAAUGUUCCAUACACUUAUAUUUUAUACCCCUUACUUAAUACUAUUAAUACUAAAACCUUCGAUGUGGGACUAAUUCUAACCUGGAAAGAAUUCAUUUUAAAGAGGAAAAGAAUAGAUCAGCUCACAUCAACAGUGUCAACUAAUAAUAUUUUAAUACGGAAAACCAUUCAAGGUGCAUAAUACUUUUUGUGAUAGAAAGUCAUCUUUCUAAAUCUAAAUUAAGAUGUAUUUCUUCGCAAGAUUAAGUGCUCGAUGCACACAAUCUAUUCUAUACUCAUUUUUCCUCUAUUCUGUUUUGUUAGAGUUCUUUGCAUGUAUUGCUUUUCUCACAUUAUUAAAUUAACUUUGACAUCAAAUAUUAAAUCUUCCAUAUCAAUGUUGUAAUUGCAAUUUUAAGAAAAUGUCAUAGACAAUCUACUUUUUGAAAACGAAAAAUAUGCUAUAUGGAAAAUAAAUGCUGUGAUGGGUCAUCUUAAGCAUUUUGCUGAGUUUUUUUAGUGAUACUGGAAGAAAUAUUUGAUCAGAAGAUCAUAUGAUUGUAUGGUUUGAAGUUGUAUAUUAUGCAUAAUCAUUGCUGAUAAUGGUUUGUGUUUCUAUCGUUUUUCAGUAAUUGAAGGGUCACAAUUCAUGGUUUUGUAUUUCUUAAAGGUGUCAUGAGAUAAAUGAAUGGUGUGUUGAUUGGAUAACAACCCCAACAACGUGUAUGAUAGUGAGUCUAUGUUUUGUCAUUUUUUUUCUUAAUACCUUGAAGAGUUUUUACUGAUACUAAUUUUUUCAAAGAUACCAUGUAUUAUGCAAGUUUGGACAGUGUUUAUAACAUAAAAUUUUAUUAUAAAAGUAUUUAUGUAUGAAUUAUUUUACAAUACUUAGUAAAAAAAUUUAUUCUAUAAUAAAAGAUAAAAUUAAAUUAAAUUAUUUUUACAUAAGUUAUAAGCUCGUUUGAUAGAUUAUUUUGAGGAGCCUAUAAAUAUUAGCUAGAAACAUCUUAUAAAUAUGUCAUGAGUUGUUUUUAUAUGUCCUCUCAAAUACUUUUACGAGUGUUCAAUAAUUAACUCAAAUAAGUUGUUUAAAAAAAUAAGCUCAAAUAAGUCAUUAUCUCAAGAAAAUUGUACUCCCUCUAUAAGUAAAAAGGAGUCCUUAUAUUUGUUGGACUCAAAUAUAAUUAAAUUUCUACAUAUUAAUUCAAAUUUAAUGUCAUUAUUUCUGAAAUAUUAUAAAAUUAAUUCCUUAAAAUAUAAGCAAAAUUAGUGAAGGAAAGUCGAGGAUUUUCUUAUCUGGUUACAUGAAUUAUCAUGUCAAAAAUCGGAUAUGUAUGCUUUCAAGUUUUAUUGUAUCCAAUAUUUGGGGAAAUACCUUGGUGUUAAUAUUCUUCACAACAAGCUUAAUUGUAGGUACUUUCAAUUUAUCAUUAAUAAGAUGGAUAACGUCUCAAUAGUUGGAAAUCUAAAUGCUUUCGUUGACACUUACUAACGAUGUUAUUUAGGCGCUUCCUUUCUACAUUAUGUAGUGUCCUUAUCUUCCAAAAUAUAUUUUUGAUGUGAUUGAUAAAUGAUGUAGUUUCAUUUGCAGUGACAUGGAUGGGAGGAGACAUUGGCUUGAGAUUGGGUAGGAAUGCCAAUCAAACAUAUCUCGUGAAGGUUGGUGGGAUUUGGUUUGAGAUAGGAAUAAUAUGGGUCAAAGUGAUUCCAUAUACAAAUGUGGUAAAUAAUGUCUCGCAUUAAAGCUAGAUAGCUUGGGUCUAAUCUUUGGCAAGGGAUUUGUAAGACUUGGAAUGAAGUCUAAAAGAAUCUUGUUUGGAGGAUUGGUAAUGUCAAAGACAUUGAUGUUUGAAUCCUAGAGAUGGGGAAACUAGCUGAAGUACAAAUUGAUGUAUCCUAUUAUUGUUAAAGAAGUUAUUUGUCAUGUUUAUGGGAGUGAUGAUUAAACCAUAGAUCGCCUGUUUUGAUUUAGUCUUAAGACCCUUCAAAUGUGGAAAUUGUUGGAUACAUGUAAUAUCCUUUCGAAUUUCUUUUCUUAGAUCUUUAUGUAUAUUUCAGUAACACAAAGAGUUUGAAGUUGUCGUUGUAGUGAAAUGAAUAGUCAAAUGUGAAUGUUUGAAUUGUGACUCUUUUAAAAUUUAGUUCG
rnacentral:lncRNA from 1 species